GGGGUGUAGCUCAGUGGUAGAGUGCUGGCCAGGCAUGCACGAGACCUGGGGUUCAGUCCCUAACACUGCA
rnacentral:tRNA from 1 species